CUUCACGUAGGCGAGUUGCAGCACAGUGUAGCAAUACAUGGGUGGCGACCGGCAAACGGGUGAGUAACGCGUGAGAAUCUGGCUCCAGGUCGGGGAUAACAGUUGGAAACGACUGCUAAUACCGGAUGUGCCGAGAGGUGAAAGAUUUAUUGCCUGGAGAUGAGCUCGCGUCUGAUUAGCUAGUUGGUGGUGUAAGGGACCACCAAGGCGUCGAUCAGUAGCUGGUCUGAGAGGAUGAUCAGCCACACUGGGACUGAGACACGGCCCAGACUCCUACGGGAGGCAGCAGUGGGGAAUUUUCCGCAAUGGGCGAAAGCCUGACGGAGCAAUACCGCGUGAGGGAGGAAGGCUCUUGGGUCGUAAACCUCUUUUCUCAAGGAAGAAGAAAGUGACGGUACUUGAGGAAUAAGCAUCGGCUAACUCCGUGCCAGCAGCCGCGGUAAUACGGAGGAUGCAAGCGUUAUCCGGAAUGAUUGGGCGUAAAGGGUCUGCAGGUGGAACUGAAAGUCUGCUGUUAAAGAGUUUGGCUUAACCAAAUAAAAGCGGUGGAAACUACAGAACUAGAGUGCGGUAGGGGCAAAAGGAAUUCCUGGUGUAGCGGUGAAAUGCGUAGAUAUCAGGAAGAACACCGGUGGCGAAAGCGUUUUGCUAGACCGUAACUGACACUGAGGAACGAAAGCUAGGGGAGCGAAUGGGAUUAGAUACCCCAGUAGUCCUAGCCGUAAACGAUGGAUACUAGGCGUGGCUUGUAUCGACCCGAGCCGUGCCGGAGCUAACGCGUUAAGUAUCCCGCCUGGGGAGUACGCACGCAAGUGUGAAACUCAAAGGAAUUGACGGGGGCCCGCACAAGCGGUGGAGUAUGUGGUUUAAUUCGAUGCAACGCGAAGAACCUUACCAAGACUUGACAUCCUGCGAAUCCUGGUGAAAGCUGGGAGUGCCUUAGGGAGCGCAGAGACAGGUGGUGCAUGGCUGUCAUCAGCUCGUGUCGUGAGAUGUUGGGUUAAGUCCCGCAACGAGCGCAACCCUCGUUUUUAGUUGCCAGCAUUAAGUUGGGCACUCUAGAGAGACUGCCGGUGACAAACCGGAGGAAGGUGAGGAUGACGUCAAGUCAGCAUGCCCCUUACGUCUUGGGCUACACACGUACUACAAUGCUACGGACAGAGGGCAGCGAGCCAGGGAUGGCAAGCGAAUCCAGAAACCGUAGCUCAGUUCAGAUCGAAGGCUGCAACUCGCCUACGUGAAG
rnacentral:rRNA from 3 species